GGCAGUGUAGCUCAGUGGUAGAGCGUGUGCUUAGCAUGCACAGGGUCCUGCGUUCAGUUCCCGGUACCUCCA
rnacentral:tRNA from 1 species